rnacentral:lncRNA from 1 species
AAAAGAAGCUGGAAAGAUAGCAAAGCAUUUGGUUCAGUCACUUAACAUAAAAAUAAUGAAAAAAAAAUAAAAAAAUAAAAAUAAUGAAGGAGAGAGAAAAAGAGAAGAACAAAGACAGUCUUCCUGGGAAAGGAGAAACACAGAACUUGUUAGUCACAUAUAUUACCUAUGUGACAUCUCAAGAUGGAUUUGAAAUCUCUUACCAUUCGGUGUUAGAAGAAGGGGAAAGUAUUGUCCAAGAUAAUAAUUACCUUUUAAGACUCACAGCCUCCAUCUUUGGAAAAACAAGAACAAAUAUUCAAGAAUCAAGAUGCUCUUGAAACCCCACAAGAAAAAGGAACUUGUCUCCAAGUGGAGGGAAUUUAUAUGAAAACACUGCCUUUAGCAGGAAGGCAC